rnacentral:misc_RNA from 1 species
UAAAGUGCGAUAUGUAGUGCGAUUUGCAUGAAUCUGUGAGUCAUCUAAUCUUUGAACGCAACUUGCGCCUCUCUGAGGCAUGUUUGUUUGAGUGCCGCAUACUCUCUGCAGCAAUGCGACUUGACCGUGUCCCCGGACUCGGUCUAAACAAAGCCAGAAAGUGGCCUGUGUAGACUAGCCCAAGUGCUAAGCAUUCUUGGAACUAUUCUACCGCAGGUUGCCCCCACACUUUUAUCUUUGGCCUCAAAUCAAGCAAGACUACCCGCUGAACUUAA